rnacentral:lncRNA from 1 species
AAUUAUUAAAGAAAGAUAUUGUUUUUCUUUCCUUAAGAUAAAUUGCAUACAUGUAAUAAGAAAAUCUAAAGUUAAAUUUUAUAGGUGGUCAAUAUACCUAGGCAUGAACAAAAGCUAACCUUAACCGUAUUUUUAACCGUAACCGAAUCGUUUAUCAACCGUAACCGGACCGUAACCGUAUAAAACGGUUAAAAAUUGUAACCGUUAACCGUAAAAGUAAAUUAGUUACGGUUAAAAAAUAAUAAUAACCGUAACCGUUAAUUAACCGUAACCAUAAUUAAUCGUCGGUUAACCGUACGGUUAAACGCUCGGUUAACCGCAUAUUUAAAUUUUUAAAAUAAAUUAUAUUAUAACUGUAUACAAUACCCAGAUUUAACUAAUUCACUAUAAAUAAUUGAAAUCAGAUAUAUUUUUUACUUGUAAAAUAAAUAAUAUUUCAUAAAAUUUUAUCUCCAAUAUUAAUAUUAUAAUAAUCAUCAAAUAACCGUAGCCGUAUUUAACUGUAACCGUAAUUAACCGUAACCGUAUAUAACCGUAACCGUCUUAACCGUAUAUAUAAUGAUUAAGGUUAUAGUUAAAAAAAUUAUAACCGUUAACCGGUGGUUAAUUAACCAUAACCGCAUUAACCGUAACCGUGGUCAUGCCUAAAUAUACCUGGUGUACGUAAUAAUACAAAAACAAAAUACUCUAUUACAGUAUUUAGUUUUAAAAUCGUUUUAAAAACAUGGCAUAGAUUUCUUCUUCACUUGUUAUCAAAAAUAAAUUAAAAAAAAAAGGCAUGGACAAUCUAUUUUUAUAUAUAUUUCCCUACUCGUGACCUUGUUUGGGUCGUUAAAGAAUAUAAAAAAACACCACAUGUUUUAUUUUGUGACACCUACUUUUUCGUUACCAUCCACCCUAUUUUUUUAUUAUUCUUUUUCUGUCAUAAAAAAAUUGUAACGAC